rnacentral:misc_RNA from 1 species
GGAAAUGAUAAGAGAAGUGUUGAAGUUAAAGAAAUUAGAGUGCAAGAACAGAAUAAGCUUAAAAAGAUUGUGAUUGAAGAGAAGAGAUUUCAGUACAAUAAUAAAAGGCAAAUGCCAAUUACUUCAAUUAAUAUGAAACAGUCACCUCCUACUUUAGGCAAUGCUAAUAUUCAUCAAAGUGCAACAAGAACCAAAUCAGAUGAAUUCCAGUCUAAACAACAUAGCAAACUACAAAGCUUGGUUGAUUUAGUGAUGUGGAGAAAUGUAUCAAAAUCAGCAUUAGUCUUUGGAAUUGGAACGUUUGUAAUCAUUUCAUCUUCAUAUACUCAAGAUCUCAAUAUCAGCUUUAUUUCUGCGCUCGCCUACUUGGGUCUGAUCUAUCUUGCUGCAA